UCUUGACUAGUAUAUUGGUUUAGUACAGCCCGCUUGUCAUAUGUGAUGUUGAAUAAUGUCUAGGCGCGGCAGAGCUGGGUUCGACUCCCAGGUCGAGAG